rnacentral:rRNA from 2 species
UUAAUUUGAGAGUUUGAUCCUGGCUCAGGACGAACGCUGGCGGCGUGCCUAAUACAUGCAAGUCGAACGAACUCUGGUAUUGAUUGGUGCUUGCAUCAUGAUUUACAUUUGAGUGAGUGGCGAACUGGUGAGUAACACGUGGGAAACCUGCCCAGAAGCGGGGGAUAACACCUGGAAACAGAUGCUAAUACCGCAUAACAACUUGGACCGCAUGGUCCGAGCUUGAAAGAUGGCUUCGGCUAUCACUUUUGGAUGGUCCCGCGGCGUAUUAGCUAGAUGGUGGGGUAACGGCUCACCAUGGCAAUGAUACGUAGCCGACCUGAGAGGGUAAUCGGCCACAUUGGGACUGAGACACGGCCCAAACUCCUACGGGAGGCAGCAGUAGGGAAUCUUCCACAAUGGACGAAAGUCUGAUGGAGCAACGCCGCGUGAGUGAAGAAGGGUUUCGGCUCGUAAAACUCUGUUGUUAAAGAAGAACAUAUCUGAGAGUAACUGUUCAGGUAUUGACGGUAUUUAACCAGAAAGCCACGGCUAACUACGUGCCAGCAGCCGCGGUAAUACGUAGGUGGCAAGCGUUGUCCGGAUUUAUUGGGCGUAAAGCGAGCGCAGGCGGUUUUUUAAGUCUGAUGUGAAAGCCUUCGGCUCAACCGAAGAAGUGCAUCGGAAACUGG